UGACCCAGAGCAACUACUUAGAGUCUGU
rnacentral:piRNA from 1 species